AUUGAACGCUGGCGGCAGGCCUAACACAUGCAAGUCGAACGCGUGGCGGACGGGUGAGUAAUGUCUGGGAAACUGCCUGAUGGAGGGGGAUAACUUCUGGAAACGGUCGCUAAUACCGCAUACCAUCAGAUGCGCCCAGAUGGGAUUAGCUAGUUGGUGGGGUAACGGCUCACCAAGGCGACGAUCUCUCGCUGGUCUGAGAGGAUGACCAGCCACACUGGGACUGAGACACGGUCCAGACUCCUACGGGAGGCAGCAGUGGGGAAUAUUGCACAAUGGGCGCAAGCCUGAUGCAGCCAUGCCGCGUGUAUGAAGAAGGCCUUCGGGUUGUAAAGUACUUUCAGCGGGGAGGCGUUACCCGCAGAAGAAGCACCGGCUAACUCCGUGCCAGCAGCCGCGGUAAUUC
rnacentral:rRNA from 1 species